rnacentral:rRNA from 1 species
CCUUUGACGUUAGCGGCGGACGGGUGAGUAACACGUGGGUAACCUACCUAUAAGACUGGGAUAACUUCGGGAAACCGGAGCUAAUACCGGAUAAUAUUUCGAACCGCAUGGUUCGAUAGUGAAAGAUGGUUUUGCUAUCACUUAUAGAUGGACCCGCGCCGUAUUAGCUAGUUGGUAAGGUAACGGCUUACCAAGGCGACGAUACGUAGCCGACCUGAGAGGGUGAUCGGCCACACUGUAACUGAGACACGGUCCAGACUCCUACGGGAGGCAGCAGAC